rnacentral:rRNA from 1 species
AUACGGAGGAUCCAAGCGUUAUCCGGAAUCAUUGGGUUUAAAGGGUCCGUAGGCGGGUUUGUAAGUCAGUGGUGACAGUUUUCGGCUCAACCGGAAAAUUGCCAUUGAUACUGCAAGUCUUGAAUCAUUAUGAAGUGGUUAGAAUGUGUGGUGUAGCGGUGAAAUGCAUAGAUAUUACACAGAAUACCGAUUGCGAAGGCAGAUCACUAAUAAUGUAUUGACGCUAAGGGACGAAAGCGUGGGUAGCGAACAGGAUUAGAAACCCCAGUAGUCC